rnacentral:rRNA from 1 species
GCUCAACCGGGGAGGGUCAUUGGAAACUGGGGAACUUGAGUGCAGAAGAGGAGAGUGGAAUUCCACGUGUAGCGGUGAAAUGCGUAGAGAUGUGGAGGAACACCAGUGGCGAAGGCGACUCUCUGGUCUGUAACUGACGCUGAGGAGCGAAAGCGUGGGGAGCGAACAGGAUUAGAUACCCUGGUAGUCCACGCCGUAAACGAUGAGUGCUAAGUGUUAGGGGGUUUCCGCCCCUUAGUGCUGCAGCUAACGCAUUAAGCACUCCGCCUGGGGAGUACGGUCGCAAGACUGAAACUCAAAGGAAUUGACGGGGGCCCGCACAAGCGGUGGAGCAUGUGGUUUAAUUCGAAGCAACGCGAAGAACCUUACCAGGUCUUGACAUCCUCUGACAAUCCUAGAGAUAGGACGUCCCCUUCGGGGGCAGAGUGACAGGUGGUGCAUGGUUGUCGUCAGCUCGUGUCGUGAGAUGUUGGGUUAAGUCCCGCAACGAGCGCAACCCUUGAUCUUAGUUGCCAGCAUUCAGUUGGGCACUCUAAGGUGACUGCCGGUGACAAACCGGAGGAAGGUGGGGAUGACGUCAAAUCAUCAUGCCCCUUAUGACCUGAGCUACACACGUGCUACAAUGGACAGAACAAAG